UCCAAUCCCAAGCCCUAGAAACCACUCUUC
rnacentral:piRNA from 1 species